UCUGAUGGUAUUGCAACACAACAUAAAGCCAAGGCUUCACCUUCAGAACUUCCUUCCUGCUUUGCUACUGAAUGAUCUGAGUAUGGGCCUCCUGCAGGGUUAAGAACUGCACAUUAUCUAAAUAAACCCAUUCGAGCUUGUCGGUGGCGUGAUCCAGAUCCAUGAUGGGCCUCUUCACUGUCAGUAAACUGCUUUUGAUGACUCUUCUGCUCCAACUGACUAAAGAGGAUGAAGAGUGGAAGACACACACAACGACUGAACCUGACAGUUCAGUGCAUUUCGGCGAGUUCUGCCUGCGUCUAUCUGAUGAUUCUCACAGGACCAGCUCUCAAUCAGUUACCCAGAUACCCUCAAAGUCAGCUCACCCAACCAAACAGGCCACCCAACUGCCUGAACAGCCAACCACAGACCUAGCCCAUCAAGACAGCCAGUCAGCCAGAGUCACGUUGAGACCCUUUUUUCUGACAUCAUUUGAACCAGCCCUGGUGCACAGUUGCGUACUGCAGAUUUUAGGCUCUUGUGAAAGUUGUGUAAAUGUGUCUUUUAUGUCCUUCAAGUUAAUGAUGGAUGUCGCUGCCAAGAGAAAGAGAAGAAAUUUCCAAAUGAAAACUCACUAAUUCUUAAGGUUGUGAUGCAGUUCCCCAGUGAAACAUGUAACUCAACCGAAAUCAUUGGGACAGCGAAGGACGGCAGCGAUGUUUGUCUGCAUAUACCCAGCUUUUUAGAAUACUACAUUGAAUUGUCACGGCAGUCGCACUUCAUCAAUCCAUCAAGUCAACUCCAGUUUUUUCUGUGACAGAAAACAACCAAUUCCAUGAAAAAAAAAUCAGAAGUGUCGGCUCAAUGUGAAUCCUGCAACUUCAUAACAAACUUGGACAGUGUUGACCCAAAGACUGUUCAGUCCCUGAAUGUGAAGAUGCAGUCAUUUCCCUGUCCUGUCCGUAUUCAGUAAGGUUCCCAUGACUAUAUUUCACAAAUUAGAGUUUUAUGAAGGUGUUCUACUAAUUCAUUCUGUCCUUAUUUUCUUAUUUUUAACCAAAAUGUUUUAUGAUGUUAAAGAAGAAUGGUGGAUGACCGUGAUUGACUGAUAUCUAUAACCUGAAAACUCAAAUUCAAAUUCACAUUGGCCUUAAUUUGUCUGUAUAACUGUGGUAUCAUCAUGUAAAGAGAAUUAAAUAAUGUCUCAUCCUGAAAAAUGACUCAGAUUUCUGUUUGGACACAAACCAGUUCGAUACAUUGCUGAAGAAACUGGAAACCCCCCCUCCCCAUGAAGAUCAUAUUGACCAGACUCUGACAAACAGUUUGUAAAAAUGUCCUUUUUGCAUUUGUUUGGAUGUUAUUUCUACAAUGAGAGACUUAAAGACUUGUCCAACCAACUAUACAAAAGUAUGCCCUGAAGCGUUUCUGUAAACAGCUUUCUAAUAAAUAUAGUAACUUCUGAUCAACCCAUAUCAAUUUCAGGGAUUAGCCACACCCACUGCAGGUUUACAUACUACCCUCGUCUAGUUUAAGCCACCCCCGAUUAUGGACAUAGAUAAUUUAGUUGUUUAAACAGAUACAGAUAAUGGUGUAAAAAACUGAACUUGAAAUUAGUAAAUAUUUGAUUUUCUUUUAUUCAACUAAUUGAUUAAUCAACGAGUCGUACCAGCUCUAAACCACAUAUAUACUGUACAUCUACAUUGUGAAAGUUGUCUUCUAUCUCCCUCAAGUCACAGAUGGAUGUCGCUGCCAAGAGAAAGAGGAGAAAUCACCAAAUCCUUGUAAUUAUGAAGGUUUCAUCAUAAUUACAAGGAUUUGGCCCCCCAGUGAAACAUGCAACUGAACUGAAUUCAUGUAAGUGAAUGUAUUUUUUGAAACUCUUAUUACAAACUAAAUUGACCCAAACUCUUGUUUUCCAGCGAGACACUGACGGGUGGGAAGGAGGUGUGUGUGACUGCAGCUAGCCUCUUAGCACACUUUGACUUUGCCUCACCGUAAGUUAAUAAUAUCUGUUACACACAUGCACAAAGUUAGAACUGUCAGUUAUUUUUGCAUAAUAUCAAAUGUGAAUUUGAGUUCAAAAUAUUUAACAAAAAACACUUCGACAGUCAUUUACACAAUAACUACGAAAAGUCGGAAUGCGAGUAGCUCAUUAUAACUGUUGAUUUCAACCCAUUCAACUAAUUCAGUCGAAUUUUCUCCAAAAAAGAUUGCUGUAACACACCUUAUAAAACCUUAUAUUUAGCCUGAAACAUAUCAAAUUAUAAAACAUCUGAUUUCACUAGUGGUAGAUAGCCAUGCAGAUAAAGUAGUUUUAUUAUAUUUGGUUUUAAGUUUUUUAUUUGGUUUGAGUUGACUCAGCAGGAACUCAAGUUCUUUCUGUUAUUUCCCUCCAGUCUCCCCAAAUUGAAACAUUUUCAACUUGCAUGGACAUGUCCUUGCAUCAAUUUGCAGCACCCUGGGUAAAAAGUGGCUUUAUGUUCUGUCUGUCUACAUUGCAAGAAGAUAAAGACCAUUGAUGACCAUUGGAAGUGGGGCGUAAAUGUGAAGUAAAUGUGCUUUGUUAAUGCCCACUACUGACAUCUGGACAAAUAAAACCAACUGCAUGCAUGGAGCCCCUGUAGCACGGAGAUCAUCAUAUCAUUCUGUCUUGUGUUACUUUACAAAAAACUGGUUCACUUUGAACCGGCUUGUUCACGACUGACACAUCACUACUCAGUACUGUGAACAUUGUAUGGUCGGCUAAAACCAGAAUAUCUGCAUGGUUGUGAACCACAGGAAGGAGGAGAGAAUCGAUCUGACCCUUUUAAAAAAUAUAAAAUGAAGAAAGGCAGAUGUACUACUUAAUAUAAUCACACUUUUUCUGUUUCUGUGACUCAGAUGUUAACCAUUUCCUUCCUGAUAACCUGGUGGAUGUGUUCUGAAUGUAACAUCAGUAAUCAUUUCCUGUAAGUUACCUUGUUGAUAAUACUGCAUUACUCAACCUACCCCCAGCCUCUGGACUGAGACUGAGCCUAAAUCCGAUCGAGAGUAAGUUUUUGCCUGGAUACACCAACAUCACAUUUUGAAAAAAUACAUUAAUUCCUAAAGUAUGCUAAUUAUGAUUUCUUAUGUCAGAUCAGUCCCUGUGUCACACACACUACGACCUCUGUCAGUUUCGCACUUUCAAUCUGUCCAUUAUUUAUCAUAAAUACAACUAUAUAGUCCACACAGUGCCAUCAGUUGAGUACUGCAUGUGUGUGCCAGAGGGUGGGGGUGAAGCAUUCCUCAUUAAAAACAAAUAAAAACUGCAUACACAUAUACUUGGAAACAUCAUAGAUUAUUCACAGAUUUUUUGAGGGAGUCUUGGUAAUACAAUUACUGGAAUUCUUCUGGAAAAAGUCUAAUAACUUCAGUUGAGAUUAACUACUGGGAUCAAAAUGAACUGACACCUUAAUGAAGUGACUGUAUAUAUAAUUUACUAACUCUAAAAUGUCUAUUUUGUGUUAAGUUACUGUUUAAAUGUUUGUCUUGUAUGUAGUCAUAAGGCCCUGCGCAGUCUGUGGUGGGUUCCUGGGCAACUUUGACCCAAAGGAUGUGCUGUCCCUGGAGAUGGAUGAGCCAUCAUUUCACUGUCCUAACCUCACUUUUGUCACCCUGAAAAAUGGAGAGCGAUUUUGUGUGGACUUGUCCAACCCGGAGAUCAGGACUGUGCUGGAGAAGUUGGAAAUUCAAGCCUCCUGAGGAAAAAGCCUUAAAUGUGAAAGUUAAUGUUCCUUUGAUCCAGUGGGGGAGGAACUACAGGGUGGGGUACUUCUGGAGAACCAGGGUGUGGUGUGGGGGUGAUGCUAUCCAAUUUAUUUGUGAGGUUAUUGUUUUCCUUCAUGUUUAGAUACAUAAAUGUAUUCUCUUUUUUAAUAUUACAGUGAUAGACAAGGUAUGAAAAAAUAUUUCUCAUGUAGGUGGAAGGAAUUUAUUUGUUUUCAAAUAUUUUGUAUUUUUCUUAAAAUCAAUGUUAUUAUAAGCAAUUAAAUAUAAACUAUGAUAUUUAAUACAUUAAAUGUUCCAUCCAAUUAAAGGUCCAGUGUGUAACAUUUAGGAGGAUCGUCUGUCAGAAAUGGAGUAUUAUAUUCAUAGACAAGUUUCAUUUUCAAGUAGCUUCAUUCUGAUCCAGAAAGCACAAGAUCAAUAUAACAGAAUCUAGAUUUGCAGUCUUUGGAUAGGCAUCCAGCUGUUAAAGUAAUAAAACAUUUAAUUGGCAAAGCUGUGAAAGUGUUGGGAAGUGUAAAUCAGUUUAUAUAUUAUUCAUAUUUACUUAUCUGGAUUAUUGUUUAAAACGUUUAGUAGUUUAGUUUCCAUUAGUUUUUUUUUUAAUUAUUAUUAUUAUAUCUGAAGUAUUUCUCAGGGCCAAGAAUGGACUCACAGUCAUGUAGACAUCCCAGUCUCUAUAAACAUAUGCACCAAUGCCUCCUCAUGCUUGUUGUAUUGCCAAAUUUGACCAAAAUAAAAGACUAAAACAAAAGUUUAUUUUA